CGUAGGGUGCAAGCGUUGUCCGGAAUUAUUGGGCGUAAAGAGCUCGUAGGCGGUUUGUCGCGUCGACUGUGAAAACCCGAGGCUUAACCUCGGGCCUGCAGUCGAUACGGGCAGACUAGAGUUCGGUAGGGGAGACUGGAAUUCCUGGUGUAGCGGUGAAAUGCGCAGAUAUCAGGAGGAACACCGGUGGCGAAGGCGGGUCUCUGGGCCGAUACUGGCGCUGAGGAGCGAAAGCGUGGGGAGCGAACAGGAUUAGAUACCCUGGUAGUCCACGCCGUAAACGUUGGGCGCUAGGUGUGGGGGUCUUUCCACGAUCUCCGUGCCGCAGCUAACGCAUUAAGCGCCCCGCCUGGGGAGUACGGCCGCAAGGCUA
rnacentral:rRNA from 1 species